GCUUAAAAUUGUUGUGAGAUUGAAUAAUUCUCGAAUUUGAUCAUUAGAUUUUCCUUUUUUUUUUGGAAAUUGACGUGCUUUUCCCAUUCAUCGCCAAAACAAACCCGUGCUUCCUCCCUCUUCGUCUUCUCCUCUCGCAAUCUGCGCCCUUAGUUCUCAAUUAGAUUCACAGUAAACACCCAAAAAUUUAGAUGUACGAAAAUUUCAAAUUUUACUUUUGGAGUUUUAAGAAGAGCUGUGGUAAUCAUCACUUUAACGAAAAAUCAUAUUUUUACAUUAAAAAGUCAAAUAUAGUACUAUUUAUUUUACCUUUUAUUUUGUCCUUAUAGUUAAAAUUCAAAGUUUCAAACUUUUUUCAUUAGUUUUUUUUUUUUUUUUUACCGUGUUAAUUUCUGAUUAAAUUAUUAUUUUUGAUAAACCCACUUAGAAUCUGAUGGGUUUGCUUGAAUUCCAUAGUAAAAACCUUGAAACUUAAAGGAUUUUAGCUAAUAGGCAAUUGGCUGCGAGGUAGAAGGAGAGGAAGGUAUAAUAUCCGUUAUUGAUUGUUUUUCCUUCUUGGUUAAUUAAAUAAAAUUGUGGUUUAUGAUAUUCAAUCAAUGGAAAAUGUGACUUUCACAAGCUCCAAGCCUCUGUCAAUUAUAGAGAUCUCAAUAUGUAUCUAAAAUUUGCUUAAGACACUAAUGGAAAAAUGUGUUUAACGUUUUAUGUUCAUAUGCAUAGGCUUGACUUCGAAAAACGUAUCUUGCAAAGCUAUGCUUCACAAAUUUACAAUGCCUCAAGUGCAGCACAUACAUUUGUGUUAUAUAAUUGUAUUCAAUAAGGAUAAUACUAUCACUGCACCUUAUUCCUUGACACUUUGGGCCUUCUUGAGUCUUCGUUGGAGCAGUGCAAAUCAGUUUUCUGACUUGAUAUCAUGGUCUUCAGUAGCUCGGCUGGGCUUUAUGAGUAUGAUCAUGAUGCGUCAAAAGCUAGGGAGCUUGAAGUGACAAUUAGAAUUAAAGUGAUAAUACAUAAAAAGUUCUCAAAGGUGGUUACAGUGGAGACCAAUAUUUAGAACACGGUGGACAAGUCUUUACAAGCUAAUCCUACUGGUUCGUAUUCUAUAUUAUUUGAAUUUUUUUUUUUUUCAAAUUCCAACAACUUAUUUCAGUGCAUUUGGAAAGUUACACUUUCACAGCCAAGGUAAAUAUCAAUAAAGUUGCGAAUGCUUUACCCAUGCUCAUUAUAAACAACCGCAUAGGUACUUUUCUUUCAUUUUGAUAUAAGAACUGUUUAAUUCUACAAUAAUUUUCUUCUUUAGUAACAAUGUUCUUUGCAAGCAUAUCAGUUAUAAAAUAAACAGCUUCCACUAAAUUCAAUUUAUGAUGAUUCAAUUUCAGGUUUGAGAAUACUGACUGUUUCCAUUUGAAAUUUUGUUGAUUUUUCCAUUCAGGUUGAACCAAAAAGUCUCCAACAUGCCAAUUUUCAUAAUAGCAGUGUUAAGGAAUGUUUCCUAACAUGUUCAUAGGAGACAAAUCAAUCAACGGUAUAUCAUCACCUUCAACGAUUGAGAGCUUUGGCACGUGCUUGGGAUCUAGAUUAGCUCUAUUAACAUCUCCCAUGGUAAGUAAAUAUGAUUUGGAAGGAAAACGAUUUAGUGCUUUUCUUUUUCUAUUUUUGCAAUAAUGUUACAAGAAGAAUGAUAGAUUUUAUCCUAUGAAUGUCAAUAAUGUUACAUCUCCGAUGUGGACAAGUUUUUGUCAUUGUUAAUUUCAAAAUUUAUGACAGUUCCUGCUGGCUUAGGAGAAAUUUUUAUGAUUAUAACACCAUCAACCGAUAUUACUGUUGUACAAGAUUCUUGAUCAAUGAUAAGAGGAUGUUGCAAUUU